AAUCGGCGUACAACGAUGGGGACGUGUCCCCGAUGUGGUGCCGAGGGUGGCAAGCCACAGCAAAAGCACCAUCUGGUGGAAAGCUGAAAAAUCACGUGUCGGGCAAUAGGGUUUGGUAGGCUGGCAACAGUUCGAAGAAGUCUGGCCCG
rnacentral:ncRNA from 1 species